GGUGCUAUAGUGUAGUGGUUAUCACUCGGGAUUUUGAAGCUGUUCGAGUUUCCCGAAACCCAGGUUCGAACCCUGGUAGCACCU